GAAACAAAUCCAACAUUAAGGCAUGUCUCACGGACAACCUUCUCGUAAUCUACAUGAGCUUUAGUUGUGAUCUCCCCGAAAACCAUGACCAAAUCGGUUGUAAUACAUGUCUCACAUGCAACCUUGCUGUCAGGAUCUUGGGCUAGGCAGGCAUCAAGCACUGCAUCAGAGAUCUGAUCACAAAGCUUGUCAGGAUGCCCCUCAUUAACAGACUCAGAGGUAAAGAGGAAGGUCUCCAUUUUAUAGAGCUGCACAAUAAAAAAGCAUACUCAGAUUACAUACAAAGAUAUCCACUAACUGAGGAAGCUAGAUAUUAAUGCUUUAGGAGUUCUCUACCGUUCAUAUAUAAACCCCGGCUCCCAGUAAACUCACUACAAGAAAAAUGACUAUAAACCACAGACAAAAUUGUCGUUUUUAGCUAAAACGACUACUGAUCGCUUUAAUUAAAAGCAACCGAGAACAACCAGGUACAGUUCUAAACAAAAUCAAGAAAUCACAUUACACACACUAAAAUUAAAAUUCCAUAAGAAAUGCAUAAGAAAUUGGACUAGCACAAAUUUCUCACUAAACUCACUAAACGAAAAAUGGCUAAAAACCAUCAACAAAUGUGGUCGUUUUUAGCUAAACUCGACCCGAACUGGUCUUUUUGAUUAAAAACAACCGAAAGGUACGAUCCUAAACAAAAUCAAUGCAACAGAGAUUGCAAUUUACCUCAGUUAAAGAAAACGCAGGCACCGAAAAAUAUCUGCCUUGUCGAAACUCAGACCACCAAGACACUGCGACAAUGAAAAAAUGGGACAUCAGAGUUGGUAUUUAUAGAAGCGAGAAGGGACUAUGGGUGAUAAAAGAUGACUGGAAACUCAAGUAGCAAGUACGGAUUCUUGGUCUGCACGUUAAUCUUUGGAUGAUGUUAUAACAAUGGGUAUUAUAUUUUGACUAAAAUGAGUCGAAGUUCAAAUAAACUUCUCUGAUGGAAACUUGAUAAACUUAAAAAUAAGUUUUUCAUAGUAGAAGAGAAGAUUGAAAUACAUUAUACAAAAGGGUUGAUAGAAAUAUCGCAUGUCAUGCCUAUCUGAGAAUUCUAAUUAAAUUUUUAAGAGAGAAAAGAAUGGGAAUUUAGCUAGUGCCACGGUUCUAAAAAUUCCUUAUUCAACGAUUAAAAUCUGUUGGGGUGCCCAGCAUCUCCCUAACUCGAACCGUGAUGCUGGCUACUACACUAUAAAAAUUAUAAUUGCGCCAUCUCAAACAAGUAGUUGUUUUUGGUAUAGUGGUGAGCGCUAGGAUUCUAAAAAUUAGUAUCAGAGCAGGAAGGCAUGCUAUGCAGUUGUGUUAGUGCUGGCAGAUGCUGGGGUGCCCAGCAUCUCCCUAGCUUGAACCGCCAUCUCCAACAAGUAGCUAUUUUUGGUGAGUGAUUAGCGUUAAGUUCCUAAAAAAAUCAUGCAAGAUAAUUUUCCAAUUUUUAAAAAUAAUAUAUUAGACAACAAUAUUACACUACUAACGUAGAGGCAAUUGAAUAUUAAAAUAUAGGAGUCGUGUGUGACUGCCUAACUGGAGUAAGAAGUUUCGUGGUAUUCAACAGGGAGUGCGUUUUGGCUUUGUUUUGCUUAUUUUAGCCAAAGAUUGUAGAAAAGAGAAAUACAGCUAUGGACCUGGAGUGAUUUCCUAUUUUUAUUUUGAGAUUUUAAUAUAGUCCUCAAAUGAUAAGACAACGAAAGCACAAAGAAGCACGUAUUAACGGAUCAAGACUACACAUCUGUGGUUUGAUAUGGAAGUCGAAAGAUUUGAGAAAAAUAUUUAAUCGAAUGUUAAUGAGGGAGAAAAAAAUUGAUCUAAUGUUGAUUAAUGUAUUUGAACAGUAAUUUAGACUUAGAAUUCUAAAAUUAUGCUCACAAGUUUUUUCAAUUAGAAGAUUGUUAUAAGAAUAAAACCGGCUAGUUACCAAACGAUAAUAGCCGCAAGUUUUUUCGCUUAAAAGACUGUUAUAUAAUAAAAUCAGCCGUUUACAGCGCAUGCAAGGCUGUUCUGUUUGGGACUAGAGACUGUAGAAUGAAGCAAAACAAACUUUGGGGUAUUUUGUUGGAUAUAUGAUGAUAAUAGAACAAACGUUCAAAAGGAGAAAUACAAGUUAUUCAUUGUUACAAUAAAAAACCACUGCAAUGCAGGAGCAAGAUGCAAAACAUAAAACAAAUUUAAGCCUGAGGCUUAUCCCACUUGAGGGGCUUGACAACCUCCCAGGUGAAGUCUGGGUCAUCCCUUCCGAAAUGCCCAUAGGCCGCGGUCUUCAAGAACCUACCAUUGCCUCCUCUUUUCAGAUCAAGAUUGAUGGAGAUCAUUCCGGGCCUGAAGUCGAAGGUUUCCUUUACGAUCUUUAGGAUUUCCCUGUCGGGGAUUUUUCCAGUUCCAUAGGUGUCGACGAAGACUGACAGAGGCUCUGGAACACCAAUAGCAUAAGAUACCUGCACAAUGCACCUACGAGCAAGUCCAUUGGCUACAAUGCUCUUGGCAGCUUGCCUGACAAUAUAUGCACCACUUCUGUCCACCUUUGUGGGGUCCUUUCCGGAGAAAGCACCACCACCGUGAGCUCCCCAGCCACCAUAAGUGUCGAUAAUGAUCUUGCGACCUGUUAGACCAGCAUCACCAUGGGGGCCUCCAAUUACAAAGCGGCCUGAAGGGUUGAGGUGAAAGAUGGUCUUCUCAUCAAGAUACUUCUCUGGGAUGACGGGCUUGAUUACAUGCUCUUUGAGGUCAGCAGCAAUCUCAUCGUUGGUAACAGUCUCGUCGUGCUGGGUGGAAAUGAGGACAGUGUGAACACGGGUUGGAACCAUGGCACCAUUCUCAUUUAGGUACUCAACAGUGACCUGGGUCUUGCCAUCAGGUCUCAACCACGCGCAUGUACCAUUCUUGCGGACAUCAGUAAGGCGAGCGCCAAGUUUGGUUGCAAGAACAUGGCUCAGAGGCAUAAGCUCAGGGGUCUCGUCAGUGGCAUAGCCAAACAUAUGGCCCUGGUCACCUGCGCCAAUAUCCUCCGGGCGCUUAGUAAGAUGACCAUGGACACCCUGGGCAAUAUCAGGGCUCUGUUGCUCAAUGUUAACAAGAACCUUGCAGUUGUCAGCAUCAAGACCAACAUCAGCAGAAACAAAUCCAAUGUUACGGCAUGUCUCGCGAACAAUCUUCUCGUAGUCCACAUCAGCCUUGGUAGUAAUCUCCCCAAAAACCAUGACCAUGUUGGUCUUGGUGCAUGUCUCACAUGCAACCUUGCUGUCGGGAUCUUGAGCUAGGCAGGCAUCCAGCACCGCGUCAGAGAUCUGAUCACAGAGCUUGUCUGGGUGACCCUCGUUAACAGACUCGGAGGUAAAUAGGAAGGUCUCUAAUGCCAUUCU
rnacentral:lncRNA from 1 species